rnacentral:rRNA from 1 species
AUUCCAGCUCCAAUAGCGUAUAUUAAAGUUGUUGCAGUUAAAAAGCUCGUAGUUGGAUUUCGGAACCGGCCGAUUGGUCCGUCCUCUGGAUCGUGUACUGAUCGGUCUGUUCUUCUUCGCGAAGACCGCGUGUGCCCUUAACUGGGUGGGCGCGGGAUUCGCGACGUUUACUUUGAAAAAAUUAGAGUGUUCAAAGCAGGCAGUCGCUUGAAUAUCUCAGCAUGGAAUAAUAGAAUAGGACUUUGGUCUUAUUUUGUUGGUUUCCGAGACCGAAGUAACGAUUAACAGGGACAGUCGGGGGCAUUUGUAUUCAAACGACAGAGGUGAAAUUCUUGGACCGUUUGAAGACAAACUACUGCGAAAGCGUUUGCCAAGAAUGUUUUCAUUG